rnacentral:rRNA from 1 species
UGCGCAGGCGGCGCGUUAAGACAGGUGUGAAAGCCCCGAGCUUAACUUGGGAAUUGCGCUUGUGACUGGCGUGCUGGAGUGUGGCAGAGGGAGGUGGAAUUCCACGUGUAGCAGUGAAAUGCGUAGAGAUGUGGAGGAACACCGAUGGCGAAGGCAGCCUCCUGGGCCAGCACUGACGCUCAUGCACGAAAGCGUGGGGAGCAAACAGGAUUAGAUACCCUGGUAGUCCACGCCCUAAACGAUGUCAACUGGUUGUUGGUGGGGUUAAACCCAUUAGUAACGAAGCUAACGCGUGAAGUUGACCGCCUGGGGAGUACGGCCGCAAGGUUAAA